UACGUAGGGGGGCAAGCGUUGUCCGGAAUCAUUGGGCGUAAAGAGCGUGUAGGCGGCCUGGUAAGUCCGCUGUGAAAGUCCAGGGCUCAACCCUGGAAUGCCGGUGGAAACUGUCAGGCUCGAGUCCGGAAGAGGCGAGUGGAAUUCCUGGUGUAGCGGUGAAAUGCGCAGAUAUCAGGAGGAACACCAAUGGCGAAGGCAGCUCGCUGGGACGGUACUGACGCUGAGACGCGAAAGCGUGGGGAGCAAAACAGG
rnacentral:rRNA from 1 species